UCCACGAAUGAUUUUGUUUGUGUUUAUGAUUGUGUAAUCCGAAUUCAUAAACCUAUGUUGUGGGAAUGGAGGCCCUUACCUCCUCUUGUCCUUCGGGAUUCAAGAUUGAGGUAUGUUCAUGACGUGUUUUGAUCCUUUCCACUGAAGGAGUUUUUCUAAAUCCUCACAAGCUCAUAGAUCGGGGCACAAUUCAAGUUUUGAGGAGGAAAAACCGGUGUUCAUCGCAUGAUUUAAGAUUCGUGUUAAUUGGCUAAACUUUGAGUGAUGAUCUUUUAGAGAUAGCUCACCUACUAUCUUGUGAUCAUCUAGUCAAAAUUUGAUGGCAGUUGGUUUUAA